GUGGAUAGGCAUACAAGGACGUUUGGGCCAAAGUAUCUGCUUGGGAAAAAAACCCAAUUACUUAACAUCGAAAAUAGGAUUCGAUAAGCAUCCAAGAAAUGCUUUUCACGCUUAAAUAGAAAAACAAUAAUGUAUGUCAAGAAUCUUCUCACUGUACCAAGGCGACCGCGAGGAGUUCGAAGCCGGUAACACUUCACAAACUUAAGGAAGAAGAGGUUGAUACUUAUCAAUUAGAAGUUUCAGGUGCGUUCGCUUUUGUGUUCGUUGUUGUUGUUCGAUGAAGAGUGGAGUGUUGAAAAUGCGUUGCGAUGAAGAGUGAGAAUGGAUGAUGAAGAUCGUUGACGAAUAAUCAAGAGGAAUGAUGAAGAUGAAUUCUCGAUGAAGUUAUGUGGCUUGGAAGGGUGUUAGAUUUGGACUCAAUGGUUAGCUAUGGAGUGCAUGAGAUUAUUGGCUUGGUUUGGCAUGUGGUUGGACUCAAAUUUGGUGCAACGAUGGCUAUUAUGGAACAUAGUCUUGUAACUUUGGAUAUUUUUGUAAUGUUUAUGUUGACAUGUAGGUGGUUAUGGUUUAUGAUUUUAAUGAAGUAAUUGGAAAUUUGAAUGCAUAUAUGUUUAUGCAUUGGAAUUUUGUAUGAAAUAUUUGAAAUGAAUGAAGUUUUGGUGGUAAUA